rnacentral:rRNA from 1 species
GAUGAACGCUGGCGGCGUGCCUAAUACAUGCAAGUCGAGCGAACGGACGAGAAGCUUGCUUCUCUGAUGUUAGCGGCGGACGGGUGAGUAACACGUGGAUAACCUACCUAUAAGACUGGGAUAACUUCGGGAAACCGGAGCUAAUACCGGAUAAUAUUUUGAACCGCAUGGUUCAAAAGUGAAAGACGGUCUUGCUGUCACUUAUAGAUGGAUCCGCGCUGCAUUAGCUAGUUGGUAAGGUAACGGCUUACCAAGGCAACGAUGCAUAGCCGACCUGGGAGGGUGAUCGGCCACACUGGAACUGAGACACGGUCCAGACUCCUACGGGAGGCAGCAGUAGGGAAUCUUCCGCAAUGGGUGAAAGCCUGACGGAGCAACGCCGCGUGAGUGAUGAAGGUCUUCGGAUCGUAAAACUCUGUUAUUAGGGAAGAACAUAUGUGUAAGUAACUGUGCACAUCUUGACGGUACCUAAUCAGAAAGCCACGGCUAACUACGUG